rnacentral:rRNA from 1 species
UGAGUCGAGUGCGCGUUUCUGUAGCAAUACAGGAAUGGCGCACGGCGCACGGGUGCGUAACACGUGGGUAAUCUGCCCUCUGAUGGGGAAUAACCCGCCGAAAGGCGGGCUAAUUCCGCAUAACAUUCCUUGGACUCCGGUUCGAGGACUCAAAGGCGUAAGUCGUCGGAGGUGGAGCCCGCGCCCGAUUAGCUAGUUGGUGAGGUAACGGCUCACCAAGGCGAUGAUCGGUAGCUGGUCUGAGAGGAUGGCCAGCCACACUGGAACUGAGACACGGUCCAGACUCCUACGGGAGGCAGCAGUGGGGAAUCUUGCACAAUGGGCGAAAGCCUGAUGCAGCGACGCCGCGUGGGGGAUGAAGCUUCUCGGAGUGUAAACCCCUUUCGACCCGGACGAAUGCCCCGCAAGGGGAGUGACGGUACGGGUAUAAGAAGCCCCGGCUAACUACGUGCCAGCAGCCGCGGUAAGACGUAGGGGGCCAGCGUUGUUCGGAAUUACUGGGUGUAAAGGGUUCGUAGGCGGUGUAGCAAGUUGGGAGUGAAAUCUCUGGGCUCAACUCAGAGGCUGCUUCCAAAACUGCUGUGCUGGAGUGUGGGAGAGGCGCGUGGAAUUGCAGGUGUAGCGGUGAAAUGCGUAGAUAUCUGCAGGAACACCCGUGGCGAAAGCGGCGCGCUGGACCACUACUGACGCUGAGGAACGAAAGCUAGGGAGCAAACAGGAUUAGAUACCCUGGUAGUCCUAGCCCUAAACGAUCAGGACUUGGGGUGCCACCCGUUCGUGUGUCGUCCCGGAGCUAACGCGUUAAGUCCUGCACCUGGGGAGUAUCGCAAGACUGAAACUCAAAGGAAUUGACGGGGGCCCGCA